rnacentral:lncRNA from 1 species
AAAACGUGUGUUUGAUUGAUUGAUAGAUAUCUCAUUACAAGGCCCUAGGGUCUAUAUUUAUACCCUGCUCAAAGAGCUACAACCAGACGAUUAGAAUUCGAAUUCCAAACUACACGGAAUCCGUAUACAAAACGAUGUAAAUAAUUAAGGAAAUAACAAAACUAUCCCCCGUGACAAACUGAAACUCCUCCAUACAACGACCGGC